CCCUACGGGGGGCAGCAGUAGGGAAUCUUCCACAAUGGACGAAAGUCUGAUGGAGCAACGCCGCGUGAGUGAAGAAGGGUUUCGGCCCGUAAAGCUCUGUUGGUCGUGAAGAAAGAUAGAGGUAGUAACUGGCCUUUAUUUGACGGUAAUUACUUAGAAAGUCACGGCUAACUACGUGCCAGCAGCCGCGGUAAUACGUAGGUGGCAAGCGUUGUCCGGAUUUAUUGGGCGUAAAGCGAGUGCAGGCGGUUCAAUAAGUCUUGUGUGAAAGCCUUCGGCUCAACCGGAGAAUUGCAUCAGAAACU
rnacentral:rRNA from 1 species